GGCGAAAGGAGGGGCUCUUCUCUUAUUUUGGUGCAGAGGUUCACUCCUGCUGACAAGCUGCAGCGAGAGAGGAGAAGGUGAAAAACAGAGCGGCACUUCAGCGUGGAUGAGUUGUGGCAUUUUUCUCAAUGUUCACUUAGCAUUCAGGGCAGACACACACUCACACAUGCAUGCAUGUCUACUGGCCACAGGCAGCCCCCACAGGAGACAGCUGCACAGCUGUCAGAGAAAGACAGCUACGUUGGCGCAUGGCAACUGAAACUCCAAGUGGUUCUGCAUGAAGAGGAAGACAAGGAGGUGGAUGAAGACUCACAGCAGAGGUCGAGCUGUGAGCACCUGGCGCCCAGCAGCAGGCACAGACGAUGCAUGCUGUUCCACUGUGGGAAAAGUGAGGGAAAAUCGAUGGCUAGAGAUGAAGGAGGAUGUGUUGAGCAGUAAAUUAGACAACUGAGGCGGAGGUGAACUCAGUGUGCUGCAGUCCACUGUGGAAAUAAAGGCAGUGGUUGUAGGGGAGAGUGAUGAACUGUGGACAGAAGCUGGGGUCGGGACCUGGUCACCGAGAAGGAGCCUUCUGAGAAGCUCCGCUGCUGCUGCUGCUGCUGGUGGUUGAAUCAAAGUUUAGGAAAGAGAUGACGGACCGUGGUUCUACUUUUUCAUCCUCUUUCAAGCUCCCCUCAGUUCAAAUCCAUUCAUUGACACCGUCGUCCAGGCUGGAAGGUUAACGCCAUGUCGUCAGCACUCAGUGGGAAGAAGUCUGAUCAGAAAUAUGUUUCUUCCCUCUGUUAAUCUACAUCAUGUGUACAUUAUAUAUAUGCUACAUGGCACAACCAGACUGUCAAUAAUUCACCAAUAGGGGACAUUUUUAUACAAACUUUUUCAGUAGUGUUUUAAGUUGCAUAAAUGUCUCAAAUCAAGAAAAUACCAUUGUAAUGUAUUACUGCAAACAGAGCGUAAGUAUAAAGUGUUU